GAAAGUUGUGUCCAAUUCAAUUAGGCCCUUAGGCAUACCAGCAAGGUUGUAAACAAAAGGGUGAUGGUGAAAAACAUAGUGUUUUGAUGAAUAAUAGUAGCACCAUUUAUGUCUGUGUUGGUCAUGCCACUUGGCCCAAGUCCAAAAGCUGGAUUAGUCCCUGGUAAUGUUGUGCCACUUCCAGUGCCAGUGCUAGUGCUAGUGCCUCCUGUUGAUGGACUUGUAGUUCCUGGUACAGUUGUUGGACUUGUGUUUCCUGCAGUGGACUGAUAUACACAUCCAGAACCAGCAGAAGCUGGUGCUGUUGGUGUCAAAGUUGCAGUUCCUUUAAAGUCACAGCUAGCACCAGAUGCACCUUUUCUUUGAUAAUAACU
rnacentral:misc_RNA from 1 species